UUGAACGCUGGCGGCAGGCCUAACACAUGCAAGUCGAGCGGUAGCACAGAGAGCUUGCUCUCGGGUGACGAGCGGCGGACGGGUGAGUAAUGUCUGGGAAACUGCCUGAUGGAGGGGGAUAACUACUGGAAACGGUAGCUAAUACCGCAUAAUGUCGCAAGACCAAAGUGGGGGACCUUCGGGCCUCAUGCCAUCAGAUGUGCCCAGAUGGGAUUAGCUAGUAGGUGGGGUAACGGCUCACCUAGGCGACGAUCCCUAGCUGGUCUGAGAGGAUGACCAGCCACACUGGAACUGAGACACGGUCCAGACUCCUACGGGAGGCAGCAGUGGGGAAUAUUGCACAAUGGGCGCAAGCCUGAUGCAGCCAUGCCGCGUGUGUGAAGAAGGCCUUCGGGUUGUAAAGCACUUUCAGCGGGGAGGAAGGCGUUAAGGUUAAUAACCUUGGCGAUUGACGUUACCCGCAGAAGAAGCACCGGCUAACUCCGUGCCAGCAGCCGCGGUAAUACGGAGGGUGCAAGCGUUAAUCGGAAUUACUGGGCGUAAAGCGCACGCAGGCGGUCUGUCAAGUCGGAUGUGAAAUCCCCGGGCUCAACCUGGGAACUGCAUUCGAAACUGGCAGGCUAGAGUCUUGUAGAGGGGGGUAGAAUUCCAGGUGUAGCGGUGAAAUGCGUAGAGAUCUGGAGGAAUACCGGUGGCGAAGGCGGCCCCCUGGACAAAGACUGACGCUCAGGUGCGAAAGCGUGGGGAGCAAACAGGAUUAGAUACCCUGGUAGUCCACGCCGUAAACGAUGUCGAUUUGGAGGUUGUGCCCUUGAGGCGUGGCUUCCGGAGCUAACGCGUUAAAUCGACCGCCUGGGGAGUACGGCCGCAAGGUUAAAACUCAAAUGAAUUGACGGGGGCCCGCACAAGCGGUGGAGCAUGUGGUUUAAUUCGAUGCAACGCGAAGAACCUUACCUGGUCUUGACAUCCACAGAACUUUCCAGAGAUGGAUUGGUGCCUUCGGGAACUGUGAGACAGGUGCUGCAUGGCUGUCGUCAGCUCGUGUUGUGAAAUGUUGGGUUAAGUCCCGCAACGAGCGCAACCCUUGUCCUUAGUAGCCAGCAGUAAGAUGGGCACUCUAGGGAGACUGCCGGGGAUAACUCGGAGGAAGGUGGGGACGACGUCAAAUCAUCAUGCCCCUUAUGACUUGGGCUACACACGUGCUACAAUGGCAUAUACAAAGAGAAGCGACCUCGCGAGAGCAAGCGGACCUCAUAAAGUAUGUCGUAGUCCGGAUUGGAGUCUGCAACUCGACUCCAUGAAGUCGGAAUCGCUAGUAAUCGUAGAUCAGAAUGCUACGGUGAAUACGUUCCCGGGCCUUGUACACACCGCCCGUCACACCAUGGGAGUGGGUUGCAAAAGAAGUAGGUAGCUUAACCUUCGGGAGGGCGCUUACCACUUUGUGAUUCAUGACUGGGGUG
rnacentral:rRNA from 1 species